UUUGUAUGACAAGUUGAAGAUUACUUUGCAUGUUAGUCACAGCAGGAUAAUAGGACAUGUUACUCAGGAGAAGAAGAGAGUUUGCAUUUUGUGUUUUCAUAGCUGCUUUGUUUAAAGGUGGAGAAUGUGCAGAAAAAGUAACUCAACCACCUCGUGUACAAGCUCUAGAAGGCAAAGAAGUCAUAAUUUUCUGUAACCAUUCAGAAGCAGCAUCUACGAGUGUCCAGUGGUAUAAACAGGUGGCUAAUGAAGGUCCUAAAUUUGUAAUCCAGAAACAUGAUGGAAGGGAAAUGCAAGGUCGGUUUACAUUAGAAGUUGACAGAAAAGCAAUGACUGCAAACCUUACCAUAAGGGACGUAACAAUCGCAGACACAGCCUCCGUCUACUACUGUGCAGUGAGUGACACAGUAAAACAAAACCUAGCAAUUGCAGCACGAUAAAUGCUUGUGCAUAAGACAGCGCACUUUACUGUACAUAUUGCUAAAGGCAUCUUCAUUUUAUUCAAGAUAUAAUGGGAAACACUGUUCUGCAUACUUUAUUUUUUGUUCAGUUUAAGAUGUACCAUUGAAUUGUUUCCAAUUAUUUCUGCUAAUAUAAUGUUUUUGAAGACAUUACUAUGCAUGCUGCUUCUGGUUUGUAUUAGCUGGGUAACAGUUUCUGUGAAUGUUCUUCUGGUAUUUUCUGUGAUGUGUGGCUUCUUGGACAUAGGGCCUAGAUAUUGGAAAGUACAUACAUCAGCACAAUCAGGACAGUAUUAAUAUUAUUGAAAGAAACUUUUAAAACAAACAUCAGUUUAAAAAUGAUUUUACGCAACACUUGAUGUUAUGCACUGCUCAAAUCCAGGUAAAAAAGAUAAUCCCUGAGAUUUGUAACAAUUGUGUAAACUCAGUGCUUAGCCUACAUGAUAUAAGCAUGUUAGCGUGAUGAGCAGCUAUUCAAAAAUGCAUGCUGCUCAUCAUGCCUGCACAUUUGCAAGCAGCUUUUUUGGCCAGCAAUAGUGUUUGCAUACACGAAAAUGUGCUUGCAAGCAUGAGCGCAGAAUUAAAAAAAAUGGUUUGCAUACUGGCACUGCUCACAUACAAUCAUGUGCUGUAGCCCAGACAUAUUAAGGGCAAAUGCAUGGAAAGAAUACAGAAGGAGAGGAAGUGAGAUGGGGAGCUGUACACAAAUUGUGUAAUGCUGUAUAAUUAAUUAAAGUGGAAGGGGAAAUGUUUAAAUUGUACUCAGAUACUACAAGCAAAUGGGACAAAGUGUAUAGGAGGCAUUUCUGACAUUAAUCCUGCAACACUGCUGUAAUGAUAAUUUAUGCACAUAAAUAACAACGGGCAUUCUAAUAAAGGAUGUGAGAGGGACAUAAAGCUGCAGUGUAACAAAGGGAAAUGAAAAUGUGAUAUACAUGUUAGUUAAAUGUGGAGUUGAGAUAAUAGCAAGGACAGAAGACACAUUACAGGCUGAAUGCAUAGAAUGCAGUUACUGCAUAUGAGAUGUAUAUACAGGCAAUUCAUCUAUGUAAGCUGACAGUACUGUAUACAAGAACAAAAGAACAUUACAGCUCAUGUACAUCAGAAAUGGACGUCAUUUUGUAAAGAAAUGAAAGUGAUACCAAUAGGAAAGGGGUUCAUCACCUAUAAACAUGUAAUAGACAAGUAAGUGUUAUAUAAUCAUGUAAAUGCUAAAUAGUAAUCUAAUAACAAAAAACAUACCAUACAUAAGUGACAAAUGACAACUGAGAUCGGAUGACAUGUCAUGAGUCCAGUUUUUCCACUGGUGAUUUGCAGACAUCUCCAAUAUCAUAAUACUGCGCAUGCUCACAUUAAAUUACAGGGAACAAUAAAGGUAACAGCAAUUCAAUAGCAGGAAUACAAUAGAUAAUGUUGUAACAGAGGACUAAUCAUGUAGUCUAGUAGUAUGGCAUAUAGUUGGAAACAUUUUUUGAAUCCCUCAUCUGCCAUUAAGCUGCAUGGUUUGAUGAAAACAAUUGCAGUAAUAAAGACAUG